rnacentral:rRNA from 1 species
AGAAUCAACGCUGGCGGCGUGCCUAACACAUGCAAGUCGAACGAGAAAGUGGAGCAAUCCAUGAGUAAAGUGGCGCACGGGUGAGUAACACGUGACUAACCUACCCUUGAGUGGGGGAUAACCUAGAGAAAUCUGGGCUAAUACCGCAUAAUACCUUCGGGUCAAAGGAGCAAUUCGCUUAAGGAGGGGGUCGCGGCCGAUUAGUUAGUUGGCGGGGUAAUGGCCCACCAAGACUAUGAUCGGUAUCCGGCCUGAGAGGGCGCACGGACACACUGGAACUGAAACACGGUCCAGACUCCUACGGGAGGCAGCAGUGGGAAUUUUGCGCAAUGGGGGAAACCCUGACGCAGCAACGCCGCGUGGAGGAUGAAGUCCCUUGGGACGUAAACUCCUUUCGAUCGGGACGAUAAUGACGGUACCGAGAGAAGAGCCCCGGCUAACUUCGUGCCAGCAGCCGC